AAUCAACGCUGGCGGCGUGCCUAACACAUGCAAGUCGAACGAGAAAGGGGACUUCGGUCCCUGAGUACAGUGGCGCACGGGUGAGUAACACGUGACUUAUCUACCCUCGAGUGGGGAAUAACUUCGGGAAACCGAGGCUAAUACCGCAUAAUACCCACGGGUACAAAGGAGCAAUUCGCUUGAGGAGGAGGUCGCGGCCGAUUAGUUAGUUGGCGGGGUAAUGGCCCCCACCAAGACGGUGAUCGGUAUCCGGCCUGAGGAGGGCGCACGGACACACUGGAACUGAAACACGGUCCAGACUCCGUACGGGGAGGCAGCAGGUGGGGUAAUUUUGCGCAAUGGGGGAAACCCUGACGCAGCAACGCCGCGUGGAGGAUGAAGUCUCUUGGGACGUAAACUCCUUUCGAUCGGGACGAUUAUGACGGUACCGGAAGAAGAAGCCCCGGCUAACUUCGUG
rnacentral:rRNA from 1 species